UACGAAGGGUGCAAACGUUAUUCGGAUUAAUUGGGCGUACAGGGUGCGCAGGCGGUAUGUUAAGUCAACUGUUAAAUCUCCCAGCCUAACUGGGAAUCAGCGGUAGAUACUGGCAUGCUAGAGGGUGGAAGAGAGAAGUGGAAUUCUUGGAGUAGCGGUAAAAUGCGUAGAUCUACAAGAGGAACACCGAUGGCGAAGGCAGCUUCUUGGUCCACAUCUGACGCUCAUGCACGAAAGCGUGGGGGAGCAAACAGG
rnacentral:rRNA from 1 species